CGAGGUGGCGGGACGGGGUGGAGGUAAUAGUCUGGGAAACGUGCCCGACGAGGGGGGAUAACUACUGGAAACGGUAGCUAAUACCGCAUAACGUCGCAAGACCAAAGAGGGGGACCUUCGGGCCUCUUGCCAUCGGAUGUGCCCAGAUGGGAUUAGCUAGUAGGUGGGGUAACGGCUCACCUAGGCGACGAUCCCUAGCUGGUCUGAGAGGAUGACCAGCCACACUGGAACUGAGACACGGUCCAG
rnacentral:rRNA from 1 species